rnacentral:rRNA from 1 species
CCCGGCACAAGCAGCGGAGCGUGUGGUUUAAUUCGAUGCAACGCGAAGAACCUUACCAAGGCUUGACAUGCCAGAAGUAGGAACUCGAAAGAGAGACCACCUGUAUCCAGUCAGGAACUGGCACAGGUGCUGCAUGGCUGUCGUCAGCUCGUGUCGUGAGAUGUCCGGUUAAGUCCGGUAACGAGCGCAACCCUUGCCGUAUGUUACAAGUGUCAUACGGGACUGCCGGUAUCAAGCCGGAGGAAGGUGGGGAUGACGUCAAGUCAGCAUGGCCUUUAUAUCCGGGGCUACACACACGCUACAAUGGUCAGUACAAUAGGUUGCAAAGCCGCGAGGUGGAGCCAAUCCAUAAAGCUGGCCUCAGUUCAGAUUGCAGGCUGCAACUCGCCUGCAUGAAGUUGGAGUUGCUAGUAACCGCGCGUCAGCCAUAGUGCGGUGAAUACGUUCCCGGGCCUU